GGUGGCUCAGUGGUAGAGUGCUUGCCUUGCAAGCAUGAGGCCCUGGGUUCGAUUCCCCAGCACCA
rnacentral:tRNA from 1 species